UACGAAGGGGGCUAGCGUUGCUCGGAAUUACUGGGCGUAAAGGGCGCGUAGGCGGACAGUUUAGUCAGAGGUGAAAGCCCAGGGCUCAACCUUGGAAUUGCCUUUGAUACUGGCUGUCUUGAGUUCGGGAGAGGUGAGUGGAAUGCCGAGUGUAGAGGUGAAAUUCGUAGAUAUUCGGCGGAACACCAGUGGCGAAGGCGACUCACUGGCCCGAUACUGACGCUGAGGCGACGAAAGCGUGGGGAGCGAACAGG
rnacentral:rRNA from 1 species